UCAUUGACUUAUAUGAUAACAAACGGAAAGAGAUAACGAAGAACCCGAAAAUGGCAACUUUCUUAGUUAUUAACUUGAACAAAAAAACGGCAAGAGGCCCGUACGUUGACUGACUUCUUUUCACACAGCUGAAGUGAUGUUCUGUGAAGUGAUGCAAAUGUGUGACAAUAACUGAGUCUCCCGUCACUGCAGCUGAAACGGCAGCAUUCAAGCUGCACAGUGCACAACAACCCCAGGUAGUAUCGUUUCCGCGAGGAACACUACGAAAGAAAGAACGUCGUUGAUAUAGCUACGAAACAUAAGAGUCGUUAGCAGGCGAGAAACACGAGGCGUGAAAGGAGAAUGAACGUGUCGAGUUCUGCUAACUGGAUAUUUGUAUUUUUAAUAAUGGUAGAAGUAGUACAACGAGUAAGCAACGACAGUUGUAGCGGUGUGAGAUACUUCUCCCAUAAGUUAAAUCCAGUUCUGCUGACGUGACCGUGUUAGACGUCCCGCGAUUUUUUUUAACAUCAUAUUAUUAUUUCCGUCCUUCAAGAUUCACUCGUCCUGCAGAAGCCACGCGCUUAAGCUUUUGAUACAAAGAUGUAGCGACGCAUAAAAUGUGUGCUUAUACCGAUCGCUGAGCAAUAUACCGCAUCACCUUCAACCAUGUACGAAUAAGCUUAGUAACAAAAUAUGCAGAAGGAAGAGAAGGUACUUGCACCUGUUAACAAGCAUUCAACUUUUCAAUAGAAGACUUGUCGUGAAUAGUACCCCUGAAUACAUGGUACCCCAAUAUUCCGACUAGACUACGGCCCUAUAGCCUCAUAAUAUUAUAGCGGCACAUCAGUACCGGGGGUAGAAGCUCUAUACAUACUGAUGCUAAAGCAGUAGUCAAAGUGCAGAAUGGAGGAGAUCAGGAGCGGGAAGGUGAAGGGCAAAUAGCGUUAAGAUCAUAAUCAGAACCGAACGCUAUCUUCACUUACUGAUUUAGCGCCAUCAUUACCAUCUCGUCUGAACCACCAGAAACCAGUCAUUGUCUUCUUAUGGAACAGUCAACGCGCUCAUCGCUCAACGGGAUAUCGUGGUGACGUGACUCGGUACCCUUACGCCAAGGGGACACCUAUUUCCCUUGCUCCCACAAAAAAUAGGACGCUUGAAGGCCCCCCUAGAGCAUUAUGUGCAGCUCUACUUGAUCGCUGUGUUCUAUCGAUGAAAUUAAAACCUUUUAAACGACCUACAAAGCUGUCGAUAUCGACACAGCGGUCAAGAUACUAAGAUCGUAGAUAUAAACAAACUCAAGGCUUCGCGACGUGGCGGUCGGCGCCCCCACCGGGAACAGGAGCGACAAAAACGAAAGAUGUGGCGACGGUUUUGGUGGUUAAGGCACCGAUUGGCUGACAGCGCAAAGCAAGCAAUUGAAAAUUCCUCGCAUUUUUCGUUACUACACUAAGUAGUGGGCAAAUGUAUUGCAUAAGAAGAAGAAGAUGGAUUGGACUAGCCGUGUGGCGACAGCAGCGAAAUGUGAUGAUGCCGUCGUCGCCGCCGCCGUCGUCGUUCGUAUUAAUACUGUUAUUACUACGAUCGACGGUACGAUAUCGGAGCCUCUGUCAGACGGGGAUCAGCCGAAGACGGAGGUGCGACCUGUCCGUCAGGCAGUAUUUCGCAUCCUUUUGUGGAUACGAUCUUUUACGAGGACGACCUGGUCACGUACAGCAUAGGCGAACUGUUCCUGCGACAGACACUAAGAACCCUGAACAGCCUAAUGUUCUGAUUAGCAAGGCCAAAAUAGAGACCUUGAAGUAUAGAAGAGGAAGAAGACUUGUUAGCAAUGAUUCGUUUCGUCUAAAUAGAACGACCCUAAUCAUUGUUAAUUUGUUUAUGUACCUCGACCUGACGCCUACAGCAACAAGGAAACCUUUUGCUGACCACACAGGGAAAAGGUAACGAAAAAUAACGGUCGCGGCUGUUACAAUCAAAAACGCACAGCGUAGCGCAAAAGGGCAGUCAAGUGAUUUAGGUUCAACGUUACAUCGAUUGCCGUCUACGAGAUCCCGGUCCUCUGGCAACACUCAGCAUUCGAAAUCUACAAGUUACAACUAGAGUAAAACCAGUUUCUCUGAAUCUGGUACUAGACACGAACUUGCAACCACCCAGCAUUCCUAUUGACCGACGUUCACCGCGGGAAAACGUUUCGUCAGAAAACGAAAGCAUAUAGGACAUUCACUUAAACACAAGGGUUAAAAUUAGCCGAAAUAGAUUUUGCAUUUUUGUCAAAUUUAAUUAUAAUGGGCGGCAGAUUAAAACACGCCGGCAGAACUAAUUACCAUGUCAUGAUAUCAUGGUUCGCAGCGCGCGGAAAUCAAAAAAUACGAACGUCAUGAAAAUUGUUUUUGCAAAUUUUACGAAAUUAUCUAUUCUGCAUAUCAUUUGGACCGGUGUAGCCUAAUAAAAUUAAUUAUCUUACGAAUAUCUAGCCAGUUAAUCGUGUUCGUAAAUAUCUGCAAUCGUAUCUUAUGGUGUACUUUUAGUACAUAUUGUAAAUUCGCAUAAACCGCGUG